rnacentral:rRNA from 1 species
GAUGAACGCUGGCGGCGUGCUUAACACAUGCAAGUCGAACGGUGAAGGCGGAGCUUGCUCUGCUGGAUCAGUGGCGAACGGGUGAGUAACACGUGAGCAAUCUGCCCCUGACUCUGGGAUAAGCGCUGGAAACGGCGUCUAAUACUGGAUACGAGCUGCGAAGGCAUCUUCAGCAGCUGGAAAGAACUUCGGUCAGGGAUGAGCUCGCGGCCUAUCAGCUUGUUGGUGAGGUAACGGCUCACCAAGGCGUCGACGGAUAGCCGGCCUGAGAGGGUGACCGGCCACACUGGGACUGAGACACGGCCCAGACUCCUACGGGAGGCAGCAGUGGGGAAUAUUGCACAAUGGGCGAAAGCCUGAUGCAGCAACGCCGCGUGAGGGACGACGGCCUUCGGGUUGUAAACCUCUUUUAGCAGGGAAGAAGCGAAAGUGACGGUACCUGCAGAAAAAGCGCCGGCUAACUACGUG